UACAGAGGUCUCAAGCGUUGUUCGGAUUCAUUGGGCGUAAAGGGUGUGUAGGUGGCGCGCUAAGUCGGGUGUGAAAUUUCGGAGAUUAACUCCGAAACUGCAUUCGAUACUGGCGUGCUUGAGGACUGGAGAGGAGACUGGAAUUCCUGGUGUAGCGGUGAAAUGCGCAGAUAUCAGGAGGAACACCGGUGGCGAAGGCGGGUCUCUGGGCCGAUACUGACGCUGAGGAGCGAAAGCGUGGGGAGCGAACAGG
rnacentral:rRNA from 1 species